UCUGUAUCCUUGAAGGGUCUGCUGCAGCUCUGCUACAUGACAUCUGCAUCUUGGGACCCAGAGCGACGGAACAGCUUCACACAGGAACAUUACCAGUUGUCCUGGCAGAAAGAAAAGGGAGAAGUUUCUGCUUGAAGAAUCUAAGAGCCAUGAAGUCCAGGGACCAGAACUUUCCCCAGAGCCUACACAGGGACUGGAUUGUAAUAUACUCCAUAAAGGCUGAUCCUAUGCAGGUGGGCAAUACGAAAGGACACAUGAUUCACAUGGCCCCGGUUCUCAGAUUUGGCAGGUUCCAGGGCGUGGCCUGGACACCAGGAGUUUAAAUGCUCCCGGGUGGUUUGAAUGGACACUGAGGUGGAGGACCACUGAAGUACAGCAACUGUGAAUUAAAGAGCCGCUCUAGAACAACAUUUGUGUCUACGCUCCUGAGGAUACCUAGCAUUCAGGGCUGAAAUACCCAGGUGAUGACCAACCCCCGAGGGGCGGCCCCUGUUGUAAGACAGUGACCAGGGCUGGGGGCUCGGAGGCUGUGACCCGUAAGGAUUCAGGAACAGACUCUGUGCUGUGUAUUUGCUGCCGAGUGUGCUCACUCUCCAAGCCUUGAUAGCUGAGGUUUUCUGACACCGAAGAACCCUCUGAUGAGAAAUCGGAGGACUGACUAGUUGUGGGAAGUUUAUGGCAUGAAAACGAAGUUUUAAAAGACAAGCCAUCUCUAGCUGAUUUCCCAGGACUUUGCUAGAGUCAAGCAGUUGUCUUCAAGACUGGCCGUGAGAAUUCUGCCUCCGUGGUGACAGAGAAGACGAUGGGCUGAGUGCUUCCGGAGUCAAUACUUCCAAAAGCAGCUGAGGCUGCUGGCUCCAUCUGUACGUAAGUAGCUGUAAGAUAGUGAGCAGCUGACGGCAGUCUCGGGGAAGCCCAGCUCUCAGGCCACGGAGGCUGUGUCUCCCCGCUUGAGGUGGCGCACGAUGAAAGUCCCCAGGGCCCCCAGGGGGAUGCACAUGGUAGAGGAGGCCACGAGCAGCCCAAUGAUGGCCAGUGCAUACGGUGGGUAGUCCUUGGUCACAAGCUGGCCCUGAAGAAGGAACCUGAGUGUCAGAAGAAAGAACCUCCCGUGCGGAACCUUCUGAGGGCACCACCCCUCCAGGCCUCAGGCCCUCCGGCGGGAGGAAGAGAGCAUCUGCGGCCGGGCAUCCUUCCACCCGGGGCUGCCCCAGCUCUGCGUGCAGGUCACUAGUGGCUCUGCUGGGCAGACUAACUCCCCCUGUGCGUACUCUUUGGAGCUACCUGGAAAGAGCAACCAUGAGAAUAAUCCAAGGCUUAUGUUCAAGGCAGCAGCAGGGCACCUAAAUGUAGGGGCUACCCUUGCCCAGUGCUGUCCAAACACAGCAGCCACCGGCAUAGGUGGCCAUUGAGCACUGGGAAUGUGGCCGGUGAUGCGCAAGAAGUGAAUUUUAAAUUUUAAUUUUAAUGAGUUACAUUUCAAUAGCUACAUGUGGUUAUUAGCUUCUGUGUCCAGCAGCACAGCUCUCAUCUCACGAGAAGUGUUGAUGGACCUCAGGACUUAGGACUUAGUUGGAAGAAUGGUGGAUGUUUCCCUAAAUGCAAAACUGAUGAGAAACCAGUUGAGGCCCAAAAGCCAAUAAAUGCUACGCUACCUUUCCACAAAGGAACCAGAGGACAGCUAAGUCCAGGGAGCAGGCACUUGCUGUCAACCAGAGUACGUACGGUUUGUAAACCAAAAUGCCACAUGGAGUGUGGCCGCGGGAACCAGCCCACAGACUUCUGUUGCUCAUCUGUUGUUACUCUGUGUGAUGAGUACAGGAAUUGGGAGGAAACAUAAAUGAUUUUAGCAGUUUGACAGCAUAAUCCUUUGUCUGCUGAAUCUGAUACAUAUUGGGUGCUUGUAUUUGCUCUACCUUUUUUUUAAGGAAUUCACUGUUUGUUAAUUGCAUUUUCCAAAAGUAUCAGGCUGCAUGGCCUGGAGGAAACACCCUGCUCCUCCACUGCGGGGUGGGAAGCCCUGCUCGGCACCACUGCCAGAACCAGACGCAGGGGCGCCUUCCCAGCCGCGGUGCAGCGUGGAGUGUGUGGAUGGAGCACGGGCCCUGUGCACCCUGUCUGCACACUCCACACACACCAUAUGCUAAGGGGCAGCAUCUUCUACCCACAGGGAAAGAAAUCCAAAUUGGUCAGUUGUAUUACUUUCCUUAAAAAGUAAAUCUUUUUUAUGAGAGUGUGUCUGUGCAAGGACAGCCAAGGCUGACCCUCAGGCCCGGUGCAGUGAUACGGCUGUCCAGGUUGUUAAAACACUGAUGUGCUGCCCUCUGCUGGGUGAGCAGAUGCAGCCCAGCCUCCUGAGUGCCCCCCUCAGUCCCCCGUUCUGUCCUAGCAACUCCAGUGUAAACGCCAGUCCCUGCCCCGCCCAGCUCCUCAGGGGCCAUGCCCUCCAGCCUUGCUUGGCCUUUCCUGAGUGGCCUCAGUGGACAGAGGCCACCAGGAAGUUCUGGACGGAAUCUCACUCUCUUCACUGCAGCCCAUGUUGAAAAACUCACAGCCCAGCUCCGCUGUCCUGGGCUGAGUAUUUUUACAUACCUGGGUGAUGUUUCCAUGUUGUGACAAAUAACCUACCCCCACCCUGGAGAGAGUUCCUUGGUUUCAGCAAACUAGAGGUCCGUGCUCGCUCACGAGCCUGGGGCCCGAGAUGGCAGAUAGCUACCUGGGAGGCGUCCCAGGCUUGGUACUGCAGGGUCCCCGUGAUGAUGUAGUCACUCAGGUAGAAGACGAAGAGGCUGAUGAUGAGCAGCGGGCUCACGCCGCCCCACAUGGCCUUCCAGUACCAGUUCAGAGCGUGUCCAGUCAUAGCCUUCAGGUCGCUUUCGAAUCUGUUUGGAGGUGGGGAGAGAAAGCUUGGAUUAUCCAUGCUGUUGCAGCCAGACAGUCCAGGCCACACCUCCCCGUCUGCUCAGGAAGAUUCUGUGCUGGGCGCCACUGAUGUUUGAACACGACCA